rnacentral:rRNA from 1 species
UGGGGAAUCUUGCGCAAUGGGGGGAACCCUGACGCAGCGACGCCGCGUGCGGGACGGAGGCCUUCGGGUCGUAAACCGCUUUCAGCAGGGAAGAGUCAAGACUGUACCUGCAGAAGAAGCCCCGGCUAACUACGUGCCAGCAGCCGCGGUAAUACGUAGGGGGCGAGCGUUAUCCGGAUUCAUUGGGCGUAAAGCGCGCGUAGGCGGCCCGGCAGGCCGGGGGUCGAAGCGGGGGGCUCAACCCCCCGAAGCCCCCGGAACCUCCGCGGCUUGGAUCCGGUAGGGGAGGGUGGAACACCCGGUGUAGAGGUGGAAUGCGCAGAUAUCGGGUGGAACACCGGUGGCGAAGGCGGCCCUCUGGGCCGAGACCGACGCUGAGGCGCGAAAGCUGGGGGAGCGAACAGG